rnacentral:rRNA from 1 species
UACGUAGGGGGCAAGCGUUGUCCGGAAUUAUUGGGCGUAAAGAGCGUGUAGGCGGUCCGGUAAGUCAGCUGUGAAAGUCAAGGGCUCAACCCUUGAAUGCCGGUUGAUACUGUCGGGCUAGAGUCCGGAAGAGGCGAGUGGAAUUCCUGGUGUAGCGGUGGAAUGCGCAGAUAUCAGGAGGAACACCUAUAGCGAAGGCAGCUUGCUGGGACGUAACUGACGCUAAGGCGCGAAAGCGUGGGGAGCGAACAGG